rnacentral:tRNA from 1 species
GCCUUCGUGGUGUAGUCGUGGUGAGCCCACUCGACGCGUAAUCGAGAGGUCCGUGGUUCGAUUCCUGGCGAGGGCA